AGUGGCGAACGGGUGAGUAACGCGUUGGUGACCUGCCCCGAAGUGUGGGAUAACAGCUCGAAAGGGCUGCUAAUACCGCAUGUGGUCUUGGGUUUUAGAACCCCAUUUCUAAAGGUGUCGUUUCGCAAGAAACGCAAUCGCUUCGGGAGGGGCCUGCGUCCCAUCAGCUGGUUGGUAAGGUAACGGCUUACCAAGGCGACGACGGGUAGGGGACCUGAGAGGGUGACCCCCCACACUGGCACUGAAACACGGGCCAGACACCUACGGGUGGCAGCAGUAGGGAAUCUUGCACAAUGGGCGCAAGCCUGAUGCAGCAACGCCGCGUGCGCGAUGAAGGCCUUCGGGUCGUAAAGCGCUUUUCUGGAGGACGAGUGUGGACGGUACUCCAGGAAGAAGGCUCGGCUAACUACGUGCCAGCAGCCGCGGUAAAACGUAGGAGCCUAGCGUUAUCCGAAUUUACUGGGCGUAAAGCGCGUGCAGGCGGCUUUGUAAGUGGGCUGUGAAAUCUCCCGGCUCAACUGGGAGGGGACGGUCAAGACUGCGAGGCUGGAGGCAGGGAGAGGGAGGUGGAAUUCCCGGUGUAGUGGUGAAAUGCGUAGAGAUCGGGAGGAACACCUGUGGCGAAAGCGGCCUCCUGGCCCUGACCUGACGCUGAGACGCGAAAGCUAGGGGAGCGAACGGGAUUAGAAACCCCGGUAGUCCUAGCCGUAAACGAUGUCGACUGGGCGG
rnacentral:rRNA from 1 species